rnacentral:rRNA from 1 species
AUUGAACGCUGGCGGCAGGCCUAACACAUGCAAGUCGAGCGGAUGAAGGGAGCUUGCUCCUGGAUUCAGCGGCGGACGGGUGAGUAAUGCCUAUGGAUCUGCCUGGUAGUGGGGGAUAACGUCCGGAAACGGGCGCUAAUACCGCAUACGUCCUGAGGGGGUAAGUUGGGGUUCUUCGGACCUCACGCUAUCAGAUGAGCCUAGGUCGGAUUAGCUAGUUGGUGGGGUAAAGGCCUACCAAGGCGACGAUCCGUAACUGGUCUGAGCGGAUGAUCAGUCACACUGGAACUGAGACACGGUCCAGACUCCUACGGGAGGCAGCAGUGGGGAAUAUUGGACGAUGGGCGAAAGUCUGAUCCAGCCAUGCCGCGUGUGUGAAGAAGGUCUUCGGAUUAUAAAACACUUUAAGUUGGGAGGGAGGGCAGUAAGUUAAUACCUUGCUGUUUUGACGUUACCAACAGAAUAAGCACCGGCUAACUUCGUG